rnacentral:rRNA from 1 species
GAUGAACGCUAGCGGCAGGCCUAACACAUGCAAGUCGAGGGAGAAGCCCUUUCGGGGGCAGAAACCGGCGCACGGGUGCGUAACGCGUAUGCAACCUACCUUUCACAGGGGGAUAGCCCGAAGAAAUUUGGAUUAAUACCCCAUAAUAUUAUUGGAUGGCAUCAUUUGAUAAUUAAAACUGCGGUGGUGAAAGAUGGGCAUGCGUCCUAUUAGCUAGUUGGAGUGGUAACGGCACCCCAAGGCUACGAUAGGUAGGGGUCCUGAGAGGGAGAUCCCCCACACUGGUACUGAGACAGGGACCAGACUCCUACGGGAGGCAGCAGUGAGGAAUAUUGGUCAAUGGUCGGAAGACUGAACCAGCCAUGCCGCGUGCAGGAAGAAUGCCUUAUGGGUUGUAAACUGCUUUUAUAUGGGAAGAAUAAGGUGUACGUGUACA